UGCCAGCCGCCGCGGUAAUACGAAGGGUGCUAGCGUUGUUCGGAAUUACUGGGCGUAAAGAGCAUGUAGGCGGAUGAAUUAGUCAGAGGUGAAAGCCCCGAGCUCAACUUGGGAACUGCCUUUGAUACUGUUUAUCUAGAGUCCGAGAGAGGUUAGUGGAAUUCCCAGUGUAGAGGUGAAAUUCGUAGAUAUUGGGAAGAACACCAGUGGCGAAGGCGGUCUCUUGGUCCGAAACUGACGCUGAGGCGCGAAAGCGUGGGGAGCAAACAGGAUUAGAUA
rnacentral:rRNA from 1 species